GGGAGCUUCGGCGCAAGU
rnacentral:snRNA from 1 species